UUUUUUUUUUCAAUAAACAUUUAUGAGAUAGUCAUUAAGUCACCAACUGACCUAGGUAGCAGGUUCCAAAGAUACAGCAAUUAAAGGGACUUUUGUUGAACUGUUUUACUGAAAGAUAAAGUAAGGCUAUUUACAUAAAGUAGCUUUUGAGGUUCCUGUAAUACAAACUAACACGUGUAUAUGUUAGUGCUUUGGUACCAAGAAUAACGGAGGUGUAUCAGUCAGAGUUCAACCAGAGAAACACAACAGUAAAAAAUACAUGUUAAGGAGUCUCCUUCAUGGCACAGCGGAAACAACCCAACUAGGAACCAUGAGGUUGUGGGUUUGAUCCCUGGCCUCGCUCAGUGGGUUAAGGAUCCAGCAUUGCCAUGAGCUGUGGUGUAGGCCAGCGGCUACAGCUCCAAUUGGACCUUUAGCCUGGGAACCUCCAUAUGCUGUGGGUGCAGCCCUAAGAAGCAAAAGAAUAACAUAAAAUAAAAAGAGAGAAAAGAAAUACACAUUAAGAGAUUUAUGAGAGAGCUGGCUCACAGGAUAUGGUGUCUGGCUAGGCAAGUCCGAAAUCUAGAGGGCAGGCGGUCAGCAAGGCAGCUUGAACUUUUGGCCAUGGCCAUGGCUGCUGUCAUAAACAGAAUCUCUUCUUCUUCAGGGACAGCUCAGCUAUGCUCUUAAGGCCUUUCAGCUGAGUCAAGCCCACACACACUAUCCAGAGUCAUCUCCCUUCUAACUCAACUGAUUAUGGACUUUAAACACACCUACCAAUUAUCUUCAAUAGCAACACCUAGAUUGGUGUUUGAUUGAAUAACUGGGGACUGUAACCUACCCAAGUUGACAUUUAAAACAUUUCACCCCUUGUCAACCUGCCAUCCAUACACACCUCUUUACACUACACUUCAUUUCCAAAUAAAGACAAUAAAGUCAUGCUUCUGCCUAAUACGAUAUGACUAUCUUGCAUACAACCAAAAACUUGGUCACCCUUUACUCAGAAGAGGAUACAGAGUACUUGGGUGAUGUCCACGCUCCUUUGAUAGCUCACAACUUAAACACUGAGACAUACAGUUAACUGUUAUUCAUCACCUUAUGAUAAUAAGGGGCUAAGGAAAGAAAACAAAAAUAUUUGAUAUAUGUACACACACAAAUAUAUUUACAACAAAGGGAGUCAGAAAUACUCCUAUUCCACCUCUUUUUUUCUGAAGCUGGUAUUUAUAACUUCCUUUCUCCGUUCCUUUGCCUUUAGCAAGCACUUCUGUUGGCCGUGGUUCUUUGCCUGGGGAGGCGGCCCAGACCUCUAUUCCUGAAGGCUGUGGGUCAGCAUUAGUCCAGCCUGACUUGGUUGUGGUAGUUUUCCAUUGACUCGAAUGAAAAGACAUAGUAGUACUGGGAGAUGCCCUAAAUAAGGGAUCUCCUGUAGCCUAGACACACUCUUCCUUACCUCUAUUGUGUAGCAACAACCCGAUUUCCCCUUGGUAAUCGGGACUGGCCACUCCACCUAGUACAGUAACCUCUUUUUUCCUCCCUAUUCAUUCAAAGGUACCAGUAGCUCAGGGUGGCCAGAUGGCAGUGUCAGCUUGCAGUUCAACAGAACCAUUGUUGUACCUCCUGGUGGAAGGGUUCUUCCCUUUGGAACUAAGAUCUUGAGGUAGAGCCUAAAGUUGUGGUGACAGGAAGCAGGAAUUUUGCUAUUAUAUCACUGGGAUUAAUAAUAAGGGAGCAACUCCCAUUUCCACCCAUGGAUUCCUGGACCCACGAAUCCUGGCUAUGGGAAAAAUAGCACCAUAGGUUGGACACUGAUUUAGAGCACAUGCAGCCUCCUUGCCCAGCUCUGCUAGGUUUCUCUACCUCACUGGCAUGGUAACUAGGUCAGUAAAGUGGCUUAAAUCUGGGAAUUGAUGGAGGGGCCGUGACUCACUGCUUUGCUUAGACUUCUGUUCACUAGACCUUGAACUCUUCUGUUUCUACAGAUCAACUUAAAAUUUAGUAGGCUGCCAACUAGAUAUUUCCUAGGGACACUUUGAUCACCUAGUCAAUAUUAUAGGUUCCCGUGAGUCAGACUGUUGUGCCCACCCUGUCUUUGGUG
ensembl:lncRNA